rnacentral:rRNA from 1 species
UACGUAGGCAGCAAGCGUUGUUCGGAAUUACUGGGCGUAAAGAGUGUGUAGGCGGUGUUCUAAGUUUGUCGUGAAAUCUCCCGGCUUAACUGGGAGGGUGCGGCGAAAACUGGAAUGCUAGAGGAUGGGAGAGGUAAGCGGAAUUCCUGGUGUAGCGGUGAAAUGCGUAGAUAUCAGGAGGAACACCGAUGGCGAAGGCAGGUCUCUGGGCAUUAACUGACGCUGAGGAGCGAAAGCUCGGGGAGCGAACGGG